GCAUAUAAUAAAAUUAUUAAUAUAUAUGCAACAAGAUCCGGUUCAAUUGCCCAGUUACCUUGCGCAGUCACGUUGAUUUGAUUGAGAUGGGGUAGCUUGUGAUCUGGAAAAAGGUCACAUUAUUGGUAAGAGGGGGCCAUGCUUGAUGCAUGUGUGCGUAUAUAGGGUCUGGCAUCAACUUGGCGUGCGUUAUAAUAUGACAGUAUAUAUAAUUAAAUUUGAGAUCCAGAUUGGAUGCACUAAUAAUUAAGCAGGCACCAUAAUCCUUUUACCAUUUUCAGUUUAGUGACACAUGCAUGUUUGUCUUAAUGAUAUUCUACGGCCGGAAUAUAUAAUCUGUCAAUUUUUGUCCUACGAUAGCAGUUG
rnacentral:lncRNA from 1 species